rnacentral:rRNA from 1 species
AACGAACGCUGGCGGCGCGUCUUAAGCAUGCAAGUCGGACGGCAAGAAGAGAGCUUGCUCUCUUCCUAGAGUGGCGGACUGGUGAGUAACACGUGGGUGACGUACCCUUUAGCUGGGGAUAGCCGGUAGAAAUACCGGGGUAAUACCGAAUAAUCUUGCUUCUUUGAUGUGAAGUAAGGAAAGGAGCUUCGGGCUUCACUGAAGGAACGGCCCGCGCACUAUUAGCUAGUUGGUGAGGUAACGGCCCACCAAGGCAACGAUAGUUAUCCGGCCUAAGAGGGUGAACGGACACAUUGGGACUGAGAUACGGCCCAGACUCCUACGGGAGGCAGCAGCUAAGAAUAUUCCGCAAUGGAGGAAACUCUGACGGAGCGACGCCGCGUGGAUGAUGAAGGUCGGAAGAUUGUAAAAUCCUUUUAAGUAUGAUGAAUAACCUGAUCAGGAAAUGGGACAGGGAUGACCGUAAUACUUGAAUAAGCAACGGCUAAUUACGUGCCAGCA